GAAAAUUCCAUGGAAAGUUUUCUGAAGACAGUCGGUUCCCUUCAUUCAUUCAUAUAAAAACUUGAAUUAGUGAGAAUGAGAAAAGAGUGAAAAUAAAGCCUAUAUGAAGGAGGAAAGUCCACUGAUGACUGAUGAGUCACCAGCAUGUACCUGUGUGCCAAAGGCUGUCUAAUUCUAAACUUUAAAAUACACUUGUUUUAGUUAUUUUAACUACAAAUUGAAAUGAAAAUAAUGAUAAUAAUAAUAAUAAUGAAAAGGAAAUUAUACAUUUACACACCUAAGGAUUAUAUCGACCAAACGAACUGCGUAUGCAUCCUCUACUUGGGUUCUUAUGAAUAAGUAUGCAGCAUUUAAAACAAUAAACAUAUAAUAUGCAUUGUUGCUCAAUAUUUAAUUACAGCUUCAGAUGCAUGAUAUUUUAAUUUGCUACGAGCAGGAUACACAAGAUCAAGUGUUCAGCUUGGACAUGCUGAUGGUUGUCGUUGUGAUAAACAUCAUAAAAAGCAACCAUUCUCGUGUCAGUGCUUAAUAUGCAUCUCGUAUAUGAAAAGCAUUUUAGGGGGCCUUGGCUUUUGGGGGCCCAAGGCAGUUGCCAUCCUUUUCCUAAUGGGUAAGUCUUAAUUAGUCUUCCUCCAACUCUGAACAGGUCACUGUCUUAACAAGUUCUGCGAUAGCAUAAUUACACAUUUUUAGUUGAAAUUACAGCCCCAUUCUCAGACAUCCCAUAAUUCUGAGUGUAAUACACUUAGAGGGUGUCUUAGAGCAGAUCUUCAAAAUUAAUUCAUUAACCUGAACAAGUUCGCACAAGGCUGCAUCAUGUCAUAUAAUUAUGUGUAUGUCACAAUCAAAUAUGUAAAACAUGGAAAUUGCCUUUGAACUGUUGUUCACACGUUCUACUGAAAUUCUCCUCCUGUAUAUUUCGGAAAUUUCUGAUCGGUGUGCAUGUCUUCAAAGUGUGUCUGUGCAUUUCAGAUAAGCCUCCUGCAUUGUUUACAGUAAGGAAUGACGGAGCUGGGCCAUUCUUGGUGGGUUUGUUGCUAUGGAAUUGGACAGUGAGCACUUGGAUUAUUCACAUUUGAGGUCAGUCUCUCCUCCUUGGCUUUCUCUUGGCCCACUGAACACCCCUGAGGAGCAUCUUAUUGCUCAAAGUUUUCUGUUUUAGUGCAUUUAGAGACUUAAUUAAAUUCUCUGAGAAAAGCAAAUCAGCUUUAUUUUACGUCCGAAAGUCCUCAGAAAAAAUACAAUUGUUGACGCACAGUAUGAGUAAAAGGCGCGCUCAUGAGAAAAAGAUAAUGAUAGAUAUGACAGCUUGAGACGUUUCUGAGAUGUCUACAGAAACUCUUGCCACGUGUGAGUCUUUAUCUCAGGAGAAAUGUCUAAAAAGCAGGAUUUACCGUAAUGAAAAUGAACACCAAAUUAAUAACAUCAUAUGAAAAUGUUAUUGCUUAAAAGCUGUUCUUUUGCAGCUCAGAUGUCAUGAAGAUCUCAUGUAAGUAUCCACUUUGUUUUAGAUCUCUCUCCUAAAAUUCCUUUGUGGAGAAACAAAAAUAGAUCGAUAGUGAGAUGUCUCACUUUUGAUUGCGGACUUUGGUAAUUUGACUAAUCUGAGCA